rnacentral:rRNA from 1 species
AAUAGAUACCCUGGUAGUCCACGCCCUAAACUAUGUCAACUAGUUGUCGGGGAAGAAAUUCCUUGGUAACGCAGCUAACGCGUGAAGUUGACCGCCUGGGGAGUACGGCCGCAAGGUUAAAACUCAAAGGAAUUGACGGGGACCCGCACAAGCGGUGGAUUAUGUGGAUUAAUUCGAUGCAACGCGAAAAACCUUACCUACCCUUGACAUGUACGGAAUUCCGCAGAGAUGUGGAAGUGCCCGAAAGGGAACCGUAACACAGGUGCUGCAUGGCUGUCGUCAGCUCGUGUCGUGAGAUGUUGGGUUAAGUCCCGCAACGAGCGCAACCCUUGCCAUUAGUUGCUACAUUCAGUUGGGCACUCUAAUGGGACCGCCGGUGACAAACCGGAGGAAGGUGGGGAUGACGUCAAGUCCUCAUGGCCCUUAUGGGUAGGGCUUCACACGUAAUACAAUGGUCGGUACAGAGGGCUGCCAACCCGCAAGGGGGAGCUAAUCCCAGAAAGCCGAUCGUAGUCCGGAUUGUAGUCUGCAACUCGACUGCAUGAAGCCGG